rnacentral:sRNA from 1 species
AUUUAGCCCCGAUAGAAGAGGAAAUCCUUUUGUGCCGGUGUUCGGCAUAAAAGAUUGCAACGAACAGCGGGACUACAC